UACGUAGGAACCGAGCGUUGUCCGGAUUUACUGGGCGUAAAGAGCGCGUAGGUGGUUUGUUAAGUCUCAUGUGUAAUCUCCCGGCUCAACUGGGAGGGGUCAUGGGAUACUGGCAGGCUUGAGGGUAGCAGAGGAAAGCGGAAUUCCCGGAGUAGUGGUGAAAUGCGUAGAUACCGGGAGGAACACCAGAGGCGAAGGCGGCUUUCUGGGCUAUACCUGACACUGAGGCGCGAAAGCGUGGGGAGCGAAC
rnacentral:rRNA from 1 species